AAGACAGUGGUCUAGCGGUUAGAACGCUGGCCUUGUAAUCCUGGGGUCCCGGGUUCAAUUCCCGGUGGUGCUC
rnacentral:tRNA from 1 species